GCAGAUGUCUUUGCAGAAGUGGCACAGCUGCCCAAUGCUGGUGUAUUUACUAUUCAGCUUGACAAUGGUUCGCAGGGGAACACUUCAUCUGCCAGUCCACCGGUCCAAACCAAUUCAGCAUUGGCCCUUUCCUCAUCAACCAGCUCUGAUGAUACAAUAAUCCUGGAUGAGGACUGCAGUCCUUCCAGAAAACGGCAGAAGGCAAAUCAAGAUGCCAAACAAGUGGUUAAAUCAGCAUUGACCAAGAA